rnacentral:rRNA from 1 species
CCUACGGGAGGCAGCAGUAGGGAAUAUUGCUCAAUGGGGGAAACCCUGAAGCAGCAACGCCGCGUGGAGGAUGAAGGUUUUCGGAUUGUAAAAUCCUUGUGUUAGAGAAGAUAAUGACGGUAUCUAACGAAUAAGCACCGGCUAACUCCGUGCCAGCAGCCGCGGUAAUACGGAGGGUGCAAGCUCUACUCGGAAUCACUGGGCGUAAAGAGCGCGUAGGCGGGAUCGCAAGUGAGAUGUGAAAUCCUAUGGCUUAACCAUAGAACUGCAUAUGAAACUGUUAUUCUAGAGUAAGGGAGGGGUAAGUGGAAUUCUUGGUGUAGGAGUGAAAUGCGUAGAGAUCGAGAGGAAUACUCGUGGCGAAGGCGAGCUGCUAGAACUUAACUGACGCUGAUGCACGAAGGCGAGGGGAGCGAAAGGGAUUAGAUACCCCAGUAGUC